rnacentral:rRNA from 1 species
CGCGUAGGCGGUUUGUUAAGUCGGAUGUGAAAGCCCCGGGCUCAACCUGGGAACUGCACCCGAUACUGGCCGACUAGAGUACGAGAGAGGGAGGUAGAAUUCCACGUGUAGCGGUGAAAUGCGUAGAUAUGUGGAGGAAUACCGGUGGCGAAGGCGGCCUCCUGGCUCGAUACUGACGCUGAGGUACGAAAGCGUGGGGAGCAAACA